CCUACGGGAGGCAGCAGUGAGGAAUAUUGGUCAAUGGCCGCGGGUCUGAACCAGCCAAGUCGCGUGAAGGAUGACUGCCCUAUGGGUUGUAAACUUCUUUUAUCAGGGAAUAAAAUGUUCCACGUGUGGGGUUUUGUGUGUACCCUAUGAAUAAGGAUCGGCUAACUCCGUGCCAGCAGCCGCGGUAAUACGGAGGAUCCGAGCGUUAUCCGGAUUUAUUGGGUUUAAAGGGAGCGUAGGUGGAUUGUUAAGUCAGUUGUUAAAGUUUGCGGGUCAACCGUCUAAGUGCAGUUGAAACUGGCAGUCUUGAGUAAACUAGAGGUGGGCGGAAUUCGUGGUGUAGCGGUGAAAUGCUUAGAUAUCACGAAGAACUCCGAUUGCGAAGGCAGCACACUGGCCUGCAACUGACACUGAUGCGCGAAAGUGUGGGUAUCAAACAGGAUUAGAUACCCCAGUAGUC
rnacentral:rRNA from 1 species